rnacentral:rRNA from 1 species
GGAUUGCCUCAGUAACGGCGAGUGAAGCGGCAAAAGCUCAAAUUUGAAAUCUGGCGUCUUCGGCGUCCGAGUUGUAAUUUGUAGAGGUAGCUUUGGGUGUACAGCCAGGUCUAUGUUCCUUGGAACAGGACGUCAUGGAGGGUGAGAAUCCCGUAAAUGGCUUGGCCAGUGCCUAUGUAUAGCGCCUUCGACGAGUCGAGUUGUUUGGGAAUGCAGCUCUAAGCGGGUGGUAAAUUCCAUCUAAAGCUAAAUACUGGCGAGAGACCGAUAGCGCACAAGUAGAGUGAUCGAAAGGUGAAAAGCACUCCGGAAGGAGAGUUAAACAGCACGUGAAAUUGUUGAAAGGGAAGCGCUUGAGACCAGACUCAGGCAGGGUUGAUCAACCUCCAUUCUUGGUGGUGCACUCUUCUCUGCCCGGGCCAGCAACAGUUUUGACGGUGGUAUAAAGGUUGGGGGAAUGUGGCUCUCUUCGGGGAGUGUUAUAGCCCUCUUCGCAAUGCUGCCAGUCGAGACUGAGGACCGCGCUUCGGCUAGGUUGUUGGCGUAAUGGUCUUAAGCGACCCGUCUUGAAACACGGACCAAGGAGUCUAACAUCUAUGCGAGUGUUUGGGUGGAAAACCCUUGCGCGUAAUGAAAGUGAACGGAGGUGGGAUCCCCUCACGGGGCGCACCAUCGACCGAUCCUGAUGUUCUCGGAUGGAUUUGAGUAGGAGCAUAGCUGUUGGGACCCGAAAGAUGGUGAACUAUGCCUGUAUAGGGUGAAGCCAGAGGAAACUCUGGUGGAGGCUCGCAGCGGUUCUGACGUGCAAAUCGAUCGUCAAAUAUGGGUAUAGGGGCGAAAGACUAAU